CCAAUAGCGUAUAUUUAAGUUGUUGCAGUUAAAAAGCUCGUAGUUGAAUUUCGGGAUCAAUAUGUUGGUCGUGCCUUGGUACGUACUGGCUUAUUGGUUUCUCCCUUCUGACGAACCAUGAUGUCAUUAAUUUGGUGUCAUGGGAAAUCAGGACUGUUACUUUGAAAAAAUUAGAGUGUUUAAAGCAGGCUCACGCUUGAAUACAUUAGCAUGGAAUAAUGAAAUAGGACGUUUGAUUCUAUUUUGUUGGUUUCUAGGAUCGACGUAAUGAUUAAUAGGGAUAGUUGGGGGCAUUAGUAUUCAAUUGUCAGAGGUGAAAUUCUUGGAUUUAUUGAAGACUAACUACUGCGAAAGCAUUUGCCAAGGAUGUUUUCAUUAAUCAAGAACGAAAGUUAGGGGAUCGAAGACGAUCAGAUACCGUCGUAGUCUUAACCAUAAACUAUGCCGACUAGGGAUCGGAUGAUGUUAAUUUUUUAAUGACUCA
rnacentral:rRNA from 1 species